ACUAAAAUAGCUCAGUUGGUAGAGCGUUCGACUGAAAAUCUAAAGGUCCCUUGUUCAACCCCGGGUUUUGGCA